rfam:Trichinella spiralis unplaced genomic scaffold Scfld3029, whole genome shotgun sequence.
AAUUGUCGAUCAGUCGGUUUCGGAGCGUGCACACUGGUACCCGAAAGAUGGUGAACUAUGCUUGAGCAGAAUGAAGCCAGAGGAAACUCUGGUGGAAGUUCGUAGCGGUGUUGACGUGCAAAUCACUCGUCUGACUUGAGUGUAGGGGCGAAAGACUAAUCGAACCAUCUAGUUGCUGGUUCCUUCCGAAGUUUCCCUCAGGAUAGCUGGCAUUUGUUUGUAACAAUUUUAUCCGGUAGAGCGAAUGAUUAGAGGUGUUGGGAACGCAAUGUUCUCAGCCUAUUCUCAAACUUCGAAUGGGUAAGCAAGGCGUUUUGCUUUGAUUUUACGAUGAAAUCGCCCAAUUAGA